UACGUAGGGUGCGAGCGUUGUCCGGAAUUACUGGGCGUAAAGAGCUCGUAGGUGGUUUGUCGCGUUGUCCGUGAAAACUCACAACUCAAUUGUGGGCGUGCGGGCGAUACGGGCAGACUGGAGUACUGCAGGGGAGACUGGAAUUCCUGGUGUAGCGGUGGAAUGCGCAGAUAUCAGGAGGAACACCGGUGGCGAAGGCGGCUCUGG
rnacentral:rRNA from 1 species